GUGUGUCACUGCCUCUGAUGAAAGAGAUCCUCGGGUGCAUAUAAAGGGCCAUCCAGGAGCUGGGAUCACUACAACGGACCCAUCCUCUGCAAACCUCCUCGCAGACAAGGGUAUCCCACCAUGUCCACGCACACCACCGCCGUACAACCCAAGGACCAGCAAUUCCCAGGGAACUGCACUCUG